ensembl:lncRNA
CUUUCUAGUUCUAGAUUUGAAUCUUAUGAACCCUCUAGAAGGACUCUCCAGUUGGCAGAAUGAAUUCCUUAGUGCCCACAGGGCAGACCUAGAUGGGGCCAGUUAGUGAAUGCACAUUUAUUAAGUAUUUUUAUUAUUAUUUUUAUUUAAAUUUAUUAUGCCAGGUACUGUCAAGUGUUGGGGAUACAAAGAAAGCAUGGCUCCUACCCUCCAGGAGUUCACAGUCUAACUUGCAAACAAUCAAGUACAAAUAGCAGCAAAUUGGAAAUAGUCCUCACUAAGAAAGCAAUAGAAUUAGGGGAUGGGAAAGACUUCCUGUAGAAAGUAAGAUUUCAUCAGGUACUUGAAAGAAACUGGGAUGUUAUGAGGAAGAGGUGUAUUCCUGGCAAGGGGCACAACCAGGGCAAAUGCCUGGAGGUUAGAGAUGAAAUGUCCAGGCACAUGCCAGGCUUGCAUUUUCUUGCAUGAAGUCUAGGACGAGCAUCAAUGCUGUACUGCUAUUUUAAAAGGAGGAGGUCAAUUGUCUCCUUGAUCCUCAACGAUCCCAGUAAGAUGGGCUUAGGGGAGCAGCUAGGAAUGCCACUCCAGCCUUCGUAGGUCCCAGAAGCUCUGGGCGGGAAAGGAGACGGCUCUUGCAAUGAGCAUGCGUGCGAGGAGGACUAAGAGCAUUGCGAACACAUGGCUGUUCUCCACCUCCUCCUCGUAGCGACUCCGCCUCGGCCAAGGGGCCGGGCCUUCGCGCGCGGGAGCGCGCACGCUCUCAUCCGCGCCCGCGCUCGUCCUGGUUGGUGGCGAAGAGUGUGGGGCGGGGCUUUGCAAUCCGGGGGCGGGGCCGGAGGCGGGAGGAGGUAGAGACACUCUCCCUCGCACGGACCGGGGAGCGAAUGUGGUCACGUGCCCGCCGCAGCUGCCACUCCCCUCACCCCCCCCCCCCCCCGUUCUCUUUCAGGUCGGGCCGGGCCGGGCGGGUUCCUCAGGCGCCUGGGAGAGAGAGAGGAGGGGAGGAGGAGGAUUAGCGGGGAGCGUGAGCGUCCGCUGCCCAGGAAUUGUGCUUGUUCCCUUGCUCUCCCUGAUCUUCAAAGUUAGAUUAUGAGGCACUUUGGAUUCCUGCCAUAUCUGCCUUUUCUUUAGCCACACUGGAGAAGCAGAGCAGAGAAACCUGGACACAGCAAGCCUUGGACAGAGCCUUGACGGGGAAACCCAACCUCUGACAGCUGAGGUGACCACCAUUCACUCCUCCCCUGUAUUUCUUUACCCUUUAUAAGCCUUCCAGGUUAAGGAACAGGAGUAGGGCCAAACUAGGUCUUCCUGCAAUCUUCCUUGGAAACUGAUGCCAACCAUUGUGUUACUUCUGGCUUCUCUUAUCUCUUUCCAGGAAUAGCUAGGUGGCACACUGAAUAGAAUGCUGGGACUGGAGUCAGAAAGAUCUGGGUUUAAAUCCAGUUUCAAGUACUUAUUAGCUCUGUGACCCCUGGGCAAGUCACUUAAUCUCUGUUUGCCAGUUUCCUCAGCUGUAAAAUAGGGUUAAUAACAGUGCCUACCUCACAGAAUUGUUUCAAGGAUCAAAUGAAAGUGCUUAGCACGAUGCCUGACACAUAGUAAGCACUAUAUAAAUAUUUAUUAUUCCCUCCCCAUUUCUUCUUACCCUUUCCCUAUACCUGUCAUAAUUAAUCAUCUAUCUAUUAGGAGAAAACUGCUUCCCUGCCCUUAGCCACCACCCUUUCAACACAGGCUAACCUCUUUUUGCAUCUAAGCCUACCUUUUCCUUCCACUUGUGUCUUCUGAAUUCCUGUUUCUUAGUAAACAAAUUUUUCUUCUUCUUAAUCUUUUUCUCUUACAUUCUGUCUAUCUCUUAACCCUCACAGAAACCUACCCUCCAUGACACUGCAUCCCUUGCUAUCACUCUGGCAUUGACUAUAGCUUCUUUCAACCCUUUCCCCCUUAACACUGGCCCAGAGGCAAGAAUUGGAAUAUAGCUUGUUCUCCAUUGUCGCUUCCUGACUCCCUUUAGCUCCUUCACUGAGUAACCUUUUGCUUUUUUGAAGUCCAUUCAAUCAAAAUUUUCCAACCAAUCAAAAUUUUGGUAGCUGUAAUAGUUAUAUGUGCCACUAUGUAAUUCUCUCUCCUUUCUCAGGGAGUUCAAUUCUUAGCUUACCAGGUUAGGUGCAAGAUUCACUUUAAGGAAGUGAUUGAAACAAUUAAGCAACAAAGAUUUAUUGAUAAAAGCACCAGAAAAUGAAAUAAGCCAUUCUCCCAUAAACAAACAUUCUAAUGAGGAAGACAGUAAAUGCAUAUAAAAAUGUAUAGUUAAUAAACAUAUUAUUUAUGUGAACUAUAAAUGAUGA